UACGUAGGGACCGAGCGUUGUCCGGAUUCAUUGGGCGUAAAGAGCUCGUAGGCGGCUGUUCAAGUCGAACGUGAAAACUCGGAGCUCAACUCCGAGCCUGCGUUCGAUACUGGACGGCUAGAGUCUGGUAGGGGGAUCUGGAAUUCCUGGUGUAGCGGUGGAAUGCGCAGAUAUCAGGAGGAACACCGGUGGCGAAGGCGGGAUCCUGGACCGGCAUUGACGCUGAGGCGCGAAAGCUAGGGGAGCAAACGGG
rnacentral:rRNA from 1 species